rnacentral:rRNA from 1 species
UGAGUAACCUGUCCUUAACUCUGGGAUAAGCCUGGGAAACUGGGUCUAAUACCGGAUAUGACUCCUCAUCGCAUGGUGGGGGGUGGAAAGCUUUAUUGUGGUUUUUGGAUGGACUCGCGGCCUAUCAGCUUGUUGGUGAGGUAAUGGCUCACCAAGGCGACGACGGGUAGCCGGCUGAGAGGGUGACCGGCCACACGUGGGACUGAGACACGGCCCAGACCUCCGUACGGGGAGGCAG